GUAUUCUUGAUUUAAAAAGAACUUACCAUAAGAAGCAAAGCUGUUGACUGAUGGUCAGAGCACUGGUUUUGGGGCCAUACUGUUAAAUCCCCUUCCAUACUGUAUCAGCUCUUUCUGGAAUAAGAAGCUAUUUCAGGAGAUGUGACUGUGCACCAUAGAGGCAAUAGAAAUCACUGCUUAUAGACCUAUUUUUCUUCAGCAGAGAACUUGUAACUGUUUUCUUCCACACCAUGAAUUAAGAUACCAAAUACGGUAAGACUAAGAGCACACUAGAAACAAGCAUACUCAGCGCUAGAAACAAGCAUAUUCAGUGGAUAACCCACCACUUGCAACU